CUUUUUUUCUGGUAUCCUCCUCGUGCCCGAGCGGAGGAGAGGGAGAGCGGGUUCAGGAGCAGCGACGGCGGCGGUGGUGGUGGGUGCGACACCGUUAGAGGCCGCUCGAGGCAGCGGCGUGUUGUGUGGGGUCUCGAGGGGUGCCAGGCGCAGAGGGAGGGGAGGCCGGUCUAAGACGCGAGGGCUGGAGAUGGCGGGCCAGCGUUGCGGUGGGAACACCGACCCAAACCCCGUCCCGAAGCGGCGGCGCAGAGACCGCCGGGGCCCAAGCAGGGAGAAGGAUGGACCAGCCCUAGGUGGUGGGGAUGUGGAGUGGAAGCUGCGGUACCCUCAAGGGGUAGGUGGUACCAACAGCGGCAGUUCCCGAAGAAGUGCUUCUACACUUCCUGCGGUACCUAGACGUCGAGGAAAAGAGGAGGUGGUGCCUGCGGCGGAGUGGGAAGGUUCGGUUGUCCGUGGGAUGUUUGCCCAGCCGGGUGUCGAGGAGGCGAGGAGACGGUAGAACUCUACGUGGACCUAGACCGCUAAAGUCCCGGAAGUACCGAAAUCUUAGCCGGAGAGCAAGCCCUAGUCAAACCUAGAUCCUGUUCGGUUGGUACGACGACGCGGUUCGAGGAGAACUAUAUCAAAUGUACUUACGAUAGGCCCUCUUCCGUUUAUAGUCCUCGUUUAUUUUAGUUAGGGACAUGUUUAUUUUUGUGAGGGACGUUAGAUAGUAAAAAAACUCCUUAAUCGGUGUAAUCUCAUCAACUAUGUAACCUACUCAUAAGUCUUCCACGUCAGUUAAACAGGAAACCGUAGAUCGGGAGGACAACCAUAUUAUUACGUUUAACGGAAAAAAUUUUUUUUACCAGGAAGUAAAGAAAAGAAACUCAAUAGACACAUAGAAAAUUCGAAAACGAUCCGCUCCUUUCCACCUGGUUCAUCAGAUCGUCUUGGUUAACGUAAAAACCCCAUAACCGAAGUCUAACCUCACCCUUCCAUAUCUAUACACAAGAAAGGUGUUCUUCUUGUUACUUAUGAUGAUGUUAGAAAAGAUCGUACCAAACAAGAGUCGGUGUACUCAAAAUAUUAGGAAGAU
rnacentral:rRNA from 1 species